UACGGAGGGAGCUAGCGUUGUUCGGAAUUACUGGGCGUAAAGCGCACGUAGGCGGCUUUUUAAGUCAGGGGUGAAAUCCCGGGGCUCAACCCCGGAACUGCCCUUGAAACUGGAGAGCUAGAAUCUUGGAGAGGCGAGUGGAAUUCCGAGUGUAGAGGUGAAAUUCGUAGAUAUUCGGAAGAACACCAGUGGCGAAGGCGGCAUCCUGGACCGACAUUGACGCUGAACGGCGAAAGCUAGGGGAGCAAACGGG
rnacentral:rRNA from 1 species